GGGAUGGACUCGCGGCGUAUCAGCUUGUUGGUGAGGUAAUGGCUCACCAAGGCGUCGACGGGUAGCCGGCCUGAGAGGGUGACCGGCCACACUGAGACUGAGACACGGCCCAGACUCCUACGGGAGGCAGCAGUGGGGAAUAUUGCACAAUGGGCGCAAGCCUGAUGCAGCAACGCCGCGUGCGGGAUGACGGCCUUCGGGUUGUAAACCGCUUCUAGUAGGGAAGAAGGGCUUCGGCUUGACGGUACCUGCAGAAAAAGGACCGGCUAACUACGUGCCAGCAGCCGCGGUAAUACGUAGGGUCCGAGCGUUGUCCGGAAUUAUUGGGCGUAAAGAGCUCGUAGGCGGUUUGUCGCGUCUGCUGUGAAAACUAGAGGCUCAACCUCUAGCCUGCAGUGGGUACGGGCAGACUUGAGUGGUGUAGGGGAGACUGGAAUUCCUGGUGUAGCGGUGGAAUGCGCAGAUAUCAGGAGGAACACCGAUGGCGAAGGCAGGUCUCUGGGCACUUACUGACGCUGAGGAGCGAAAGCGUGGGGAGCGAACAGGAUUAGAUACCCUGGUAGUCCACGCCGUAAACGUUGGGCGCUAGAUGUGGGGACCUUUCCACGGUUUCCGUGUCGUAGCUAACGCAUUAAGCGCCCCGCCUGGGGAGUACGGCCGCAAGGCUAAAACUCAAAGGAAUUGACGGGGGCCCGCACAAGCGGCGGAGCAUGCGGAUUAAUUCGAUGCAACGCGAAGAACCUUACCAAGGCUUGACAUAUACGAGAACGGGCCAGAAAUGGUCAACUCUUUGGACACUCGUAUACAGG
rnacentral:rRNA from 1 species